UACGUAGGGGGCAAGCGUUGUCCGGAUUUAUUGGGCGUAAAGAGCGUGUAGGCGGCUUGGUAGGUCCGCUGUGAAAACUCGAGGCUCAACCUCGAGACGCCGGUGGAAACCAUCAGGCUAGAGUCCGGAAGAGGAGAGUGGAAUUCCUGGUGUAGCGGUGAAAUGCGCAGAUAUCAGGAAGAACACCCGUGGCUAAGGCGGCUCUCUAGUACGGUACUGACGCUGAGACGCGAAAGCGUGGGAGCGAACAGG
rnacentral:rRNA from 1 species